UACAGAGGGUGCAAGCGUUAAUCGGAAUUACUGGGCGUAAAGCGUGCGUAGACGGUUAUUUAAGUCGGGUGUGAAAGCCCCGGGCUCAACCUGGGAAUUGCAUUCGAGACUGAAUAGCUAGGGUGCGGAAGAGGGAAGCGGAAUUUCCGGUGUAGCGGUGAAAUGCGUAGAUAUCGGAAGGAACACCAGUGGCGAAAGCGGCUUCCUGGUCCAGCACCGACGUUCAGGCACGAAAGCGUGGGGAGCAAACA
rnacentral:rRNA from 1 species